rnacentral:rRNA from 1 species
GCUUAACGCGAAGAACCUUACCUGGCCUUGACAUGUACGGAACUUUCCAGAGAUGGAUUGGUGCUCGAAAGAGAGCCGUAACACAGGUGCUGCAUGGCUGUCGUCAGCUCGUGUCGUGAGAUGUUGGGUUAAGUCCCGCAACGAGCGCAACCCUUGCCAUUAAUUGCCAUCAUUCAGUUGGGCACUUUAAUGGGACUGCCGGUGACAAACCGGAGGAAGGUGGGGAUGACGUCAAGUCCUCAUGGCCCUUAUGGCCAGGGCUUCACACGUAAUACAAUGGUCGGUACAGAGGGUUGCCAAGCCGCGAGGUGGAGCCAAUCCCAGAAAGCCGAUCGUAGUCCGGAUUGUAGUCUGCAACUCGACUACAUGAAGUCGGAAUCGCUAGUAAUCGCGGAUCAGCAUGUCGCGGUGAAUACGUUCCCGGGUCUUGUACACACCG